ensembl:lncRNA
CAGGACUCUAGGGACAGAAGUGGUGGGGCAAAGGAAUCAAAGGUGGCUUCUUGGCUUGGAAAAGUGAGGACAGGAAUCCCCACAGCUGGGCUGACUUCGUGGGACAGAGAGCUUCAUCUGUCGGGUGCCGGAGCCUCUGGGCGGAGGAAGAAGAAACGGAUUCACAGGUCCAGUUCACCUGACACGGAAGCUGCAGAUUAAAAGAAAGUGCACAGUGAAGACACAAAGGCAGGAAGACCAGCAUCCCCAACAUCUCUUCACUGAAUACACCUCAACUCAGAGGGGAUGACUUGAAGCUAAGUUAAGUUCUGAGUCUCAUUUUGCCUUGGUUUAGGGUUCACUGUACGUUAGAUUGACACAUGAUAGGAACAUGUAUUUAUGAGAUGCGGCGAACAUCCAUAUGCACCGUGAUGAUCAAAGCAAGGUAAUUAGCACAUGGAUCACCUUUGAUGUGUUAAGAUGUGGAUGUAAAACUUUCUCAUGGGCUAAUGUAUUUGACCAUUUGGUCCUCGCCUGGUGGAGCUAAUUUGAGAGAUUGUAGAACUUUUGGGGUGCAGGGCUUAUCCACAGAAGAGGAAGAAGUUGGAAAGGUGGGCAUAAGAGGUUGGAAGGGAUCUCAUUUCUCUGAGCCUUAGGCAUGCCUCAGACAGGAACAGCAGGGACUCGGCUCUACGGUGCCCCCCUUUUAAGACAUGUAAUCCAGACAGCUCCCCUUUCCUCUACGCUCCACACUGAAAAUGUUAUUGUACUAAAGAUGCAAAUGGAGCUAAAAUUAGUGUAACUCCACUCCCCCAAGGGUACCUACACCAUUUCCUGAAGCAAACGCAUUUACAUGAUUUUAUUCUAAGAAGAAAUAUUCACUCAACAUAAAAAAAUUAUUAAAUAGAUAAAGUGCCUCUUAAGCACAUGUUUCUGCCGCUCUCCAUUGUCUUUGUGAGCUCAGUGGCCAUUCAGCCGUUCUACUUUGUGAAUUUUGCUCUGGUUUCAGUGUGGUAGACAUGGAAAUAAUUUCAGCCAAAGAAAAGGCAGACACAGUGGUAUGGUUCAGGCCACAGGAGCCCCUUUACAGAUGAGCACACCCCACUGCUUCCUUAUCCAGCUGAUGUCUGAAUUAGACCACCUCAAUGCUGUACAAAAUAAUGUUUUAAAGUAGUAAAACUGUACAGGCAGAACUCACACAUGCUCAGACAUCAUGAUCUACAAGGAAGAUGGCUCAGGCCUCUGCCCUUUCACCAUGUGGAAAUGCCAGGAGUAGCGCCAUGUGCUUUGUGACAUUACUGUGACUGUUGUUCUUUCAUUUUGUGUGCAGCUGGUCUGUUGGGACUGUGUGGCCUUGGGGACAUAGUUAUGACAAUGUUGUGGUGGCUCCAGCCAAGCUGACCAAGGACUGGCUUCCCUGUUUUAAAUUGUGUUUUCU